CAAUGUGAGAAAAGGUAUGGAUAAAGGAGUUGGCAUUUAUGUCAUGGAGGAGUUGGGAUCUACCCUCCAAAAUAGGGUUCGCAUCUACCCCCCACAGGGUGCGCCGUGUGUCCUCCUCCCACACACGCACUAAAGAGAUUCGUGCAGAUGAAACUUCACGCCAUUUGCUCCCAUACGUUAGUUCCUCUUGCCCAAAAAGGACAUCAUCCCUUAUUUUGGGUUAUUCUUCAUCUCCCAUUCUGUCGAACUGAAACCCUUAACCUUCUGUAACCCAUCGGAGAUUACCUCCUUUGAGUUCUGCUGAUCGACGCCGACAACCGUUCCAGCAAGAGAUCUAAAACCCGUCGAGGUGGGAGCCCCCUUUGAGUUCCACCGGUCGACGCCGACGACCGUUCCGGAAUAUUCAUUUACUGGAGAUAUGUAUAGUUGAGGGCAGUGCAAAUCCUAUAACCAAUUCUGGCCACUCUGUCAUGUACACACAGGAUCAAGGUUUUGGAGAAAAUAUUCAAUCUAUUACAGAUGGAAGUGGUCCACCAAGCACCAUUCCUUGUCUUUGGAAUUGGCAACAUGUUCACACAAUGCCAUCACCUAUGCAAGCACCACAUUGGCUCAUGUAUAACCAUUCAAGCUCUUUUGUAAACAAUCUUCCCAUAUAAGUACGUAGAGGUACUCAGAAAUGUGUCUAGCCAAACCAUCUCUAGUGGAUCUCAUAUGAGCCAGGAAUCAUCAUGGAUCGGACCAUGUCAAGACCAACAACCAGAAAAGUGGAGUUAUCAUGGAUGAAAGAUGUUCACGUGUAUUUGUUGUUUUUUCCCCAACAACUUUUUUUUCACAAAGUACAUUUUCUCUUUUGAUGUUCUACCAAUCUCUUUGUUUGUGAAGUCUCUCUAGUUUUCUAUUAAGAGCUCUUGUAGCAGUUUGGUUGAAGCACUCUAAUGAGAAAUGUUUGAUGAACAUAGAUAAGAAUGUUCUCAUAAAAAACCUCAAUGAGUCAAUGACCCCAUCUGUGUUCUGAAGAUAAAGAGAAGAAACUUCUUUUGCAGUAUUUCAAUUACAUGGGGAUUCUUGUAGUAGAAGGUUCUUAUGAUAAGAUGUAUGCACUUUGAUCGAGCAA